GGUUAAGUGACUAAGCGUACACGGUGGAUGCCUAGGCAGUCAGAGGCGAUGAAGGGCGUGCUAAUCUGCGAAAAGCGUCGGUAAGGUGAUAUGAACCGUUA
rnacentral:rRNA from 1 species